rnacentral:lncRNA from 1 species
GUGUUUGGAGCUGGAGACGGCCUGGGUGCUGGCGAAGCGGAGGCCGGAGUUAAUACACGAGGAACUCAUGCAAAGGAGGGGACUUUCGGAAAUCCAAACUUAGAGUGCCUUGUAUUUAGAAUCCGGAAGGAAAAGGAAAUGAAAUGUGAAGAAACUCAUGCACCAAACUCGAACUGGGUAUAUGUGAUGUUACCUAGUAAGAAGACUGUUAGAAUGCCCUCGGUAACACAGAGGCUGAGAGAUCCUGACAUAAAUCCUUGUUUGUCGGAAUCUGAUGCUUCCACCAGAUGUCUGGAUGAAAAUAACUAUGACAGGGAAAGGUGUUCCACUUACUUCUUGAGGUACAAAAACUGCCGGAGAUUCUGGCCGUGAAAGAUCCUUGAGAGCUCUUGUUAGCUGCCUCGUCGUCCUCUAAGCUAUAAGAAUGCAGUUUUAAUAUAGAAUUCUAUCGUGAUGCAGAGAAGAAAGAACGGAGUGAAGCCAUUUAUGCCUACGGCAGCAGAAAGAGAUGAAAUCUUGAGAGCAGUGGGAAAUAUGCCCUAUUGAAUGUUU